GGCUCAGGAUGAACGCUAGCGGCAGGCUUAACACAUGCAAGUCGAGGGGCAGCAUAAUGAAACAGCAAUGUGGAUUUGAUGGCGACCGGCGCACGGGUGCGUAACGCGUAUGCAACCUACCCAUAACAGGGGGAUAACACUGAGAAAUUGGUACUAAUACCCCAUAAUACUUUGGAAGGCAUCCUUUUGAGUUGAAAGUUCCGGCGGUUUAAGAUGGACAUGCGUUGUAUUAGUUAGUUGGUGAGGUAACGGCUCACCAAGACGACGAUACAUAGGGGGACUGAGAGGUUAACCCCCCACAUUGGUACUGAGACACGGACCAGACUCCUACGGGAGGCAGCAGUGAGGAAUAUUGGUCAAUGGGCGGAAGCCUGAACCAGCCAAGUAGCGUGAAGGAUUACUGCCCUACGGGUUUUAAACUUCUUUUAUGCGAGAGUAAUGUGCGCUACGUGUAGCGUAUUGCAAGUAUCGCAUGAAUAAGCAUCGGCUAACUCCGUG
rnacentral:rRNA from 1 species